AGCAGCCGCGGUAAUUCCAGCUCCAAUAGCGUAUAUUAAAGUUGUUGCAGUUAAAAAGCUCGUAGUUGAAUUUCGGGGUCAGUAGAUUGGUCGUGCCACUGGUAUGUACUGGUCUUACUGGCUCCUCCUUCCUGAUGAACCGUAAUGCCAUUAAUUUGGUGUUGCGGGGAGACUGGACUGUUACUUUGAAAAAAUUAGAGUGUUUAAAGCAGGCUAACGCUUGAAUACAUUAGCAUGGAAUAAUGAAAUAGGACGUUCGAUCUUAUUUUGUUGGUUUCUAGGAUUGACGUAAUGAUUAAUAGGGAUAGUUGGGGGCAUUAGUAUUCAAUUGUCAGAGGUGAAAUUCUUGGAUUUAUUGAAGACUAACUACUGCGAAAGCAUUUGCCAAGGAUGCUUUCAUUAAUCAAGAACGAAAGUUAGGGGAUCGAAGACGAUCAGAUACCGUCGUAG
rnacentral:rRNA from 1 species